CAAUAGCGUAUAUUAAAGUUGUUGCAGUUAAAAAGCUCGUAGUUGGAUUUGUGGUGUGCUUCGGCGGCCCGUCACUAUGUGAUGGAGCUUGCUGAAGUCGCCAUCCUUGGGUGGAUCCUGUGUGGCAUUAAGUUGUCGUGCAGGGGAUGCCCAUCGUUUACUGUGAAAAAAUUAGAGUGUUCAAAGCAGGCUUAUGCCGUUGAAUAUAUUAGCAUGGAAUAAUAAGAUAGGACCUUGGUACUAUUUUGUUGGUUUGCGCACCAAGGUAAUGAUUAAUAGGGACAGUUGGGGGUAUUCGUAUUUCAUUGUCAGAGGUGAAAUUCUUGGAUUUUUGAAAGACGAACUACUGCGAAAGCAUUUACCAAGGAUGUUUUCAUUAA
rnacentral:rRNA from 1 species